rnacentral:rRNA from 1 species
AGAAUGAACGUUGGCGGCGUGGAUUAGGCAUGCAAGUCGUACGGGCCGCAAGGCCAGUGGCGCAAGGGUGAGUAAGGCGACGGUAACCAACCCCGGGAUCGGGUAUAGCCGCGGGAAACUGCGGGUAAUCCCCGGCGACGUCGGAGGGGGGCAUCCCCUUUCGACCAAAGCUCCGGCGUCUCGGGACGGGCCGUCGUGGUAUUAGGUUGUUGGCGGGGUAACGGCCCACCAAGCCUGCGAUGCCUACCGGGCGUGCGAGCGUGGCCCGGCACACUGGGACUGAGACACUGCCCAGACUCCUACGGGAGGCAGCAGUGGGGAAUCUUGCUCAAUGGGCGAAAGCCUGAAGCAGCGACGCCGCGUGCGGGAUGAAGGCCCUCGGGUUGUAAACCGCUUUCAGCAGGGACGAAAUUGACGGUACCUGCAGAAGAAGGCCCGGCCAACUACGCGCCAGCAGCCGC